rnacentral:rRNA from 1 species
UUGCGGUUAAAAAGCUCGUAGUUGGAUUUCGGCGGGUAGUGGUUGGUUUGAAUUGAUUCAACACUGACUUUUUUACCCGUGUGUUUUGCCAGAAUCUUACGGGUGAUCUUUACCGAUUGUCCGUUGGAACUGGCAGGUUUACUUUGAAAAAAUUAGAGUGCUCAAAGCAAGCUUACUGCUUGAAUAGUUGCGCAUGGAAUAAUAGAAUAGGAAGUCGUUUCUAUUUUGUUGGUUUUCGGAAAUCGACUUAAUGAUUAAUAGGGAUAGUCGGGGGCAUUCGUAUUCAAACGACAGAGGUGAAAUUCUUGGACCGUUUGAAGACGAACUAAGGCGAAAGCAUUUGCCAAGAAUGUUUUCAUUAAUCAAGAACGAAAGUUAGAGGUUCGAAGGCGAUUAGAUACCGCCCUAGUUCUAACCAUAAACGAUGCCAGCUAGCGAUCUGCCGGCGCUUAAUUUUCUGGCCUGGCAGGGAGCUUCCGGGAAACCAAAGCUUGUGGGUUCCAGGGGAAGUAUGGUUGCAAAGCUGAAACUUGAAGUAAUUGACGGAAGGGCACCACCAGGAGUGGAGCCUGUGGCUUAAUUUGACUCAACACGGGAAAUCUCACCA